UAAGCAUAUCAAUAAGCGGAGGAAAAGAAACCAACAGGGAUUGCCUUAGUAACGGCGAGUGAAGCGGCAAAAGCUCAAAUUUGAAAUCUAGCACUUUCAGUGUUCGAGUUGUAAUUUGAAGAAGGUAACUUUGGAAUUGGCUCUUGUCUAUGUUCCUUGGAACAGGACGUCACAGAGGGUGAGAAUCCCGUGCGAUGAGAUGUCCAAUUCUAUGUAAAGUGCUUUCGAAGAGUCGAGUUGUUUGGGAAUGCAGCUCUAAGUGGGUGGUAAAUUCCAUCUAAAGCUAAAUAUUGGCGAGAGACCGAUAGCGAACAAGUACAGUGAUGGAAAGAUGAAAAGAACUUUGAAAAGAGAGUGAAAAAGUACGUGAAAUUGUUGAAAGGGAAGGGCUUGAGAUCAGACUUGGUAUUUUGCGUUCCCUUCCUUUUUGGUUGGGUUCCUCGCAGUUUACUGGGCCAGCAUCGGUUUGGAUGGUAGGAUAAUGACAUUGGAAUGUAGCUUUACUUCGGUGAAGUGUUAUAGACUUUGUUGAUACUGCCUAUCUAGACCGAGGACUGCGUCUUUGACUAGGAUGCUGGCGUAAUGAUCUUAAGCCGCCCGUCUUGAAACACGGACCAAGGAGUCUAACGUCUAUGCAAGUGUUUGGGUGUAAAACCCGUACGCGUAAUGAAAGUGAACGUAGGUGAGAGCCGUAAGGUGCAUCAUCGACCGAUCCUGAUGUCUUCGGAUGGAUUUGAGUAAGAGCAUAGCUGUUGGGACCCGAAAGAUGGUGAACUAUGCCUGAAUAGGGUGAAGCCAGAGGAAACUCUGGUGGAGGCUCGUAGCGGUUCUGACGUGCAAAUCGAUCGUCGAAUUUGGGUAUAGGGGCGAAAG
rnacentral:rRNA from 1 species